AUGAACAAGCCAACGCUCAUCUCACCAAAUUCCGAAAAGCCCAGCAUGAACUCGAGGAGGCUGAGGAACGUGCUGAUAUUGCAGAAUCUCAAGUCAAUAAGCUUCGUGCUAAGACCCGAGACUUCACCUCCAGCAGGAUGGUGGUCCAUGAGAGCGAAGAGUGAGUGAUCCUCUUCUGAACAGGACAGAAAAUAUGCAAAAUGUAUAUUUUCAUGAUUCCUAUCAUGCUCAAUUUCCAUGUGACUGCUUUUCACCUGCAUUAAACUUUGUUUUCAAUUUGG